CGAGUCUAUUUUCCGAGGUAAAUCCUGGGUUAUUCCUCUCGGAGGGUCUAUUUUCCGAGGUAAAUCCUGGGUUAUUCCUCUCGGCGCGUCUAUUUUCUGAGGUAAAUCCUGGGUUAUUCCUCUCGGCGCGUCUAUUUUCCGAGGUAAAUCCUGAGUUAUUCCUCUCGGCGAGUCUAUUUUCCGAGGUAAAUCCUGGGUUAUUCCUCUCGGCGGGUCUAUUUUCCGAGGUAAAUCCUGGGUUAUUCCUCUCGGCGGGUCUAUUUUCCGAGGUAAAUCCUGGGUUAUUCCUCUCGGCGCGUCUAAUUUCCGAGGUAAAUCCUGGGUUAUUCCUCUCGGCGGGUCUAUUUUCCGAGGUAAAUCCUGGGUUAUUCCUCUCAGCGCGUCUUUUUCCAGAAACGAACAGUAGCCGAGAUGAACUAGAUGAAUCCUCACGCUUUGUGCACGGAGCUGAUGUGGGCGUUUACAU